rnacentral:rRNA from 1 species
UACAGAGGGGGCAAGCGUUGUUCGGAAUUACUGGGCGGAAAGGGCUCGUAGGCGGCCAACUAAGUCCGACGUGAAAUCCCCAGGCUUAACCUGGGAACUGCGUCGGAUACUGGAUGGCUUGAAUUCGGGAGAGGGAUGCAGAAUUCCAGGUGUAGCGGUGAAAUGCGUAGAUAUCAGGAGGAACACCGGUGGCGAAGGCGGUUCUCUGGGCAUUACCUGACGCUGAGGAGCGAAAGCAUGGGGAGCGAACAGG